rnacentral:rRNA from 1 species
CCUACGGGGGGCAGCAGUGAGGAAUAUUGGUCAAUGGACGAGAGUCUGAACCAGCCAAGUAGCGUGAAGGAUGACUGCCCUAUGGGUUGUAAACUUCUUUUAUAUGGGAAUAAAAUGUUCCACGUGUGGGAUUUUGUAUGUACCAUAUGAAUAAGGAUCGGCUAACUCCGUGCCAGCAGCCGCGGUAAGACGGAGGAUCCGAGCGUUAUCCGGAUUUAUUGGGUUUAAGGGGAGCGUAGGUGGAUUGUUAAGUCAGUUGUGAAAGUUUGCGGCUCAACCGUAAAAUUGCAGUUGAAACUGGCAGUCUUGAGUACAGGAGAGGUGGGCGGAAUUCGUGGUGUAGCGGUGAAAUGCUUAGAUAUCACGAAGAACUCCGAUUGCGAAGGCAGUUCACUGGACUGCAACUGACACUGAGGCUCGAAAGUGUGGGUAUCAAACAGGAUUAGAUACCCGUAUAGUC